UGGGGAAUCUUGCACAAUGGAGGAAACUCUGAUGCAGCGACGCCGCGUGAGCGAUGAAGCCCUUCGGGGUGUAAAGCUCUUUCGACGGGAACGAUAAUGACGGUACCCGAAGAAGAAGCUGCGGCUAACUACGUGCCAGCAGCCGCGGUAAUACGUAGGCAGCGAGCGCUGUUCGGAAUUACUGGGCGUAAAGAGUGUGUAGGUGGUGCUCUAAGUUUGGUGUGAAAUCUCCCGGCUUAACUGGGAGGGUGCGCCGAAAACUGGAGUGCUUGAGUAUGGGAGAGGUAAGCGGAAUUCCUGGUGUAGCGGUGAAAUGCGUAGAUAUCAGGAGGAACACCUGUGGUGUAGACAGCUUACUGGACCAUCACUGACACUGAGACACGAAAGCGUGGGUAGCAAACAGGAUUAGAUACCCUGGUAGUCCACGCCCUAAACGAUGCAUACUUGGUGUGAGCCAUUCAUUUGGUUCGUGCCGGAGCUAACGCGUUAAGUAUGCCGCCUGGGGAGUACGGUCGCAAGGCUG
rnacentral:rRNA from 1 species